GCGAGUGUAGUUCAAUGGUAGAAUUCCAGCCUUCCAAGCUG
rnacentral:tRNA from 1 species